rnacentral:rRNA from 1 species
UACGGAGGAUGCGAGCGUUAUCCGGAUUUAUUGGGUUUAAAGGGUGCGUAGGCGGACGCUUAAGUCAGCGGUAAAAUUGCGGGGCUCAACCUCGUCGAGCCGUUGAAACUGGGUGCCUUGAGUGGGUGAGAAGUACGCGGAAUGCGUGGUGUAGCGGUGAGAUGCAUAGAUAUCACGCAGAACUCCGAUUGCGAAGGCAGCGUACCGGCGCCCAACUGACGCUGAAGCACGAAGGCGUGGGUAUCGAACAGG